rnacentral:rRNA from 1 species
GAUUGAACGCUGGCGGUAUGCUUAACACAUGCAAGUCGAACGGAAACGAUACUAGCUUGCUAGUAGGCGUCGAGUGGCGGACGGGUGAGUAACGCGUAGGAAUCUGCCUGAUAGUGGGGGAUAGCCCGAAGAAAUUCGGAUUAAUACCGCAUAAUCUAUUCGUAGUAAAGUGGGGGACUUUCGAGCCUCACGCUAUCAGAUGAGCCUGCGUAAGAUUAGCUUGUUGGUAGGGUAAAAGCCUACCAAGGCAACGAUCUUUAGCUGGUCUGAGAGGAUGAUCAGCCACAUCGGGACUGAGACACGGCCCGAACUCCUACGGGAGGCAGCAGUGGGGAAUAUUGGACAAUGGGGGCAACCCUGAUCCAGCAAUACCGCGUGUGUGAAGAAGGCCUGAGGGUUGUAAAGCACUUUCAAUUGUGAAGAAAAGUUAACGGUUAAUAACCGUUAGCCUUGACGUUAACUUUAGAAGAAGCACCGGCUAACUCCGUGCCAGCAGCCGCGGUAAUACGGAGGGUGCAAGCGUUAAUCGGAAUUACUGGGCGUAAAGCGUGCGUAGGCGGUUUAUUAAGUCAGAUGUGAAAGCCCCGGGCUUAACCUGGGAACUGCAUUUGAAACUGGUCAACUAGAGUAUGGUAGAGGAAAGUGGAAUUUCUGGUGUAGCGGUGAAAUGCGUAGAUAUCAGAAGGAACAUCAAUGGCGAAGGCAGCUUUCUGGACCAAUACUGACGCUGAGGUACGAAAGCGUGGGUAGCAAACAGGAUUAGAUACCCUGGUAGUCCACGCCGUAAACGAUGAUAACUAGCCGUUGGGGGGAUUUACCCUUUAGUGGCGAAGCUAACGCGUUAAGUUAUCCGCCUGGGGAGUACGGCCGCAAGGUUAAAACUCAAAGGAAUUGACGGGGACCCGCACAAGCGGUGGAGCAUGUGGUUUAAUUCGAUGCAACGCGAAGAACCUUACCUGGUCUUGACAUCCUGCGAACUUUCUAGAAAUAGAUUGGUGCCUUCGGGAACGCAGUGACAGGUGCUGCAUGGCUGUCGUCAGCUCGUGUCGUGAGAUGUUGGGUUAAGUCCCGUAACGAGCGCAACCCCUAUCCUUAUUUGCCAGCACGUCAUGGUGGGAACUAUAAGGAGACUGCCGGUGAUAAACCGGAGGAAGGCGGGGACGACGUCAAGUCAUCAUGGCCCUUACGACCAGGGCUACACACGUGCUACAAUGGGAAGGACAAAGAGCCGCGAAGCCGCGAGGUGUAGCUAAUCUCAGAAACCUUUUCGUAGUCCGGAUUGGAGUCUGCAACUCGACUCCAUGAAGUCGGAAUCGCUAGUAAUCGUAGAUCAGAAUGCUACGGUGAAUACGUUCCCGGGUCUUGUACACACCGC